rnacentral:lncRNA from 11 species
GUCCAUGCUCUGAUAUCUUCCUAAUCUAAUGUGCUCUAUAUCGGAUUUCCUUUGAAGACUGUAGAUAUAACUAGUAUCAGUGUGUUGUUGGAGAGCUUGAUUGUCAAACCAUUUAUCAUCUUGGUUGCCAUCUUCUGGACAUGUUGCAAAUAAAGCUGACAGGUAAGCAAUAAAUAAAUUUCAUUUCUUUUUGGUG